UUGUACAGUGUUAAUAAAGUUGUGUUUGUACAGUGUUAAUAAAGUUGUGUGUUUGUACAGUGUUAAUAAAGUUGUGUGUUUGUACAGUGAUAAUAAAGUUGUGUGUUUGUACAGUGUUAAUAAAGUUGUGUGUUUGUACAGUGUUAAUAAAGUUGUGUGUCUGUACAGUGUUAAUAAAGUUGUGUGUUUGUACAGUGUUAAUAAAGUUGUGUUUGUACAGUGAUAAUAAAGUUGUGUGUUUGUACAGUGUUAAUAAAGUUGUGUUUGUACAGUGUUAAUAAAGUUGUGUGUUUGUACAGUGUUAAUAAAGUUGUGUGUUUGUACAGUGAUAAUAAAGUUGUGUGUUUGUACAGUGUUAAUAAAGUUUUGUGUUUGUACAGUGAUAAUAAAGUUGUGUGUUUGUACAGUGUUAAUAAAGUUGUGUUUGUACAGUGUUAAUAAAGUUGUGUGUUUGUACAGUGUUAAUAAAGUUGUGUUUGUACAGUGUUAAUAAAGUUGUGUGUUUGUACAGUGUUAAUAAAGUUGUGUGUUUGUACAGUGUUAAUAAAGUUGUGUGUUUGUACAGUGAUAAUAAAGUUGUGUUUGUACAGUGUUAAUAAAGUUGUGUGUUUGUACAGUGAUAAUAAAGUUGUGUGUCUGUACAGUGUUAAUAAAGUUGUGUUUGUACAGUGUUAAUAAAGUUGUGUGUUUGUACAGUGUUAAUAAAGUUGUGUUUGUACAGUGUUAAUAAAGUUGUGUGUUUGUACAGUGUUAAUAAAGUUGUGUGUUUGUACAGUGUUAAUAAAGUUGUGUGUUUGUACAGUGUUAAUAAAGUUGUGUGUUUGUACAGUGUUAAUAAAGUUGUGUUUGUACAGUGUUAAUAAAGUUUUGUGUUUGUAAAGUGUUAAUAAAGUUGUGUGUCUGUACAGUGAUAAUAAAGUUGUGUUUGUACAGUGAUAAUAAAGUUUUGUGUUUGUACAGUGAUAAUAAAGUUGUGUUUGUACAGUGUUAAUAAAGUUGUGUUUGUACAGUGUUAAUAAAGUUG